AACGAACGCUGGCGGCAUGCCUAACACAUGCAAGUCGAACGAAGGCUUCGGCCUUAGUGGCGCACGGGUGCGUAACGCGUGGGAAUCUGCCCCUAGGUACGGAAUAACAGCGAGAAAUUGCUGCUAAUACCGUAUGAUGACGUAAGUCCAAAGAUUUAUCGCCUAGGGAUGAGCCCGCGUAGGAUUAGCUUGUUGGUGAGGUAAAAGCUCACCAAGGCGACGAUCCUUAGCUGGUCUGAGAGGAUGAUCAGCCACACUGGGACUGAGACACGGCCCAGACUCCUACGGGAGGCAGCAGUGGGGAAUAUUGGACAAUGGGCGAAAGCCUGAUCCAGCAAUGCCGCGUGAGUGAUGAAGGCCUUAGGGUUGUAAAGCUCUUUUACCCGGGAAGAUAAUGACUGUACCGGAAGAAGAAGCCCCGGCUAACUUCGUGCCAGCCGCCGCGGUAA
rnacentral:rRNA from 1 species